AGGACGAACGCUGGCGACGUGCUUAACACAUGCAAGUCGAGCGGAAAGGCCCUUCGGGGUACUCGAGCGGCGAACGGGUGAGUAACACGUGAGUAAUCUGCCCCUAGCUCUGGGAUAGCUCCGGGAAACCGGGAUUAAUACCGGAUACGACCACCUUAGACAUCUUUUGUGGUGGAAAGAAUUUCGGCUAGGGAUGAGCUCGCGGCCUAUCAGCUUGUUGGUGGGGUAACGCCUACCAAGGCGACGACGGGUA
rnacentral:rRNA from 1 species